rnacentral:rRNA from 1 species
AUGUGGCCUUCCCUCCAAGCACAUAUAUGGAUAUGGAGCACUCUUUUCCACCCUAAAAUUAUAUAUUCCAUUCCAGGCAUUGACAGCAACUCACUCUUUUCGAACUGCACUUUGAAAAAACCCAAGAAAGACCAUAUCAACUACUCUCCAAAUAGCAGGAUAAAUCACAGAAUUCAAAUGGAAGACAGAAAGAGAAGGCAAUUCAAACCUAAUGGCCAACGAAUCCAAGACAAAAAUACUUAUAGCCAGAAAAGAAUAACAAGAGAACGAAAACAACUCCAUAUUCUACUGGCCUGCCUCUCUGAUCUACUAUCCAACUGCCAUGGAAGCACCACUGUUCACCCUAGGCUCACAUUCUGGCACUUCGUUCGCUGUGUACUGAAAGGACUUGCUUGUCUUUUGACUCGGGUAAAAACCGCAGGAGUGAAUUGA